rnacentral:rRNA from 1 species
GACGAACGCUGGCGGCGUGCUUAACACAUGCAAGUCGAACGGAAAGGCCCUGCUUUUGUGGGGUGCUCGAGUGGCGAACGGGUGAGUAACAAGUGAGUAACCUGCCCUUGACUUUGGGAUAACUUCAGGAAACUGGGGCUAAUACCGGAUAGGAGCUCCUGCUGCAUGGUGGGGGUUGGAAAGUUUCGGCGGUUGGGGAUGGACUCGCGGCUUAUCAGCUUGUUGGUGGGGUAGUGGCUUACCAAGGCUUUGACGGGUAGCCGGCCUGAGAGGGUGACCGGCCACAUUGGGACUGAGGUACGGCCCAGACUCCUACGGGAGGCAGCAGUGGGGAAUAUUGCACAAUGGGCGGAAGCCUAAUGCAGCAACGCCGCGUGCGGGAUGACGGCCUUCGGGUUGUAAACCGCUUUCGCCUGUGACGAAGCGUGAGUGACGGUAAUGGGUAAAGAAGCACCGGCUAACUACGUG